rnacentral:lncRNA from 1 species
CUUAAAUCAGAAUAAGCAGAAAGUUGGACUUGUAAAUCAUACAAGUGGAUCUACGAUAACAAAGGAGUUGUAGUUCUCUGCUGUAAAGGAUAUACUCUGGCAAGAUGUACAGCAGGUUCUUGCCUGCGAAUCUUCUUUUACAGUCAUUACAUGAUGAGUCUAUGGGCAUUGAUUGCUCUGACAAGGUGAGGAUUUGGGAGAAGAAGACAGUCUCAGUAUCAUCACCUUCAUAAGGAGUUUAUGACAUUAAGCAACAAGUAACGCUCUGGACAGCAACCAGUCUCCCUCCAAUAAAAGGCGAAGGCAUGCGGUGGGAAGUGUGACAUGUGUGCUGCUGCUUAUAUCCUCUGGGCUUAGUUAAAGAAGAAGGUCAGGAAGCUUUAGGCAUUGCCCAGUGGUUCAUGAUUUGGAACAAAUUAAUCUGAGAGCAAAAUCUGGCUUGGGAUGUAUUGACAUGGAUGGCACAUUCCUUAAUGCUCUAUUUAUAUGACAAUAGAAGAGAGUUAUGUCGCCUACGCAGAAGACCUAUACAGAAGAGGUUCUUCACCAUCACUACCAGAAGCACACACAAGAUCAUCCUGAUCCCACUCAGGUUAACUGUCUGGACAGCUGUGAGUCAAGCCUUCAAGCCACGCUGCUUUAUCUGAUUGGUCUCAGACUUGAUCUGGCACAUGAAAGGAAAUGUGAGGAAGUUUCAAGCAGGGAUCGUUUUGCAAGUCCAGAGCUGAGGGUGAGGUCAAGUUCACUCACAUUUUUGGAGUAUCACAUUGCAAACAUAAAGCACCGUGCAUACAGCAUGAGGGUUGGUGGAGCAGUGGUUUCAACUGCAGGAGAUCUGUGUUGCUGGAGUAUUUUCGUGUUAUUUACCAGCAUCAAUGAAAUAUACCACACUAAAGAAACAGCAGUUGCAUGUAUUUUUUAAAGGCGACCCUUCUAGGGAAUAGGCAUAUGGUGACUUUAUCUUCGUUUUGAUGUUUAACUCACACAGGUGUUGCAAGCAUCUCGUGGAGCUGCAGGGUAAUGUUAGCAUUUAGUUAAUGAGUAAGUUCUUAUUAUUCAUGUGGCAUUAAUUUAGCCCACGAUGUUACUCCUUUCCUCUUGCGGUGCGUUCAGAGUCGUGGAGAUUGCUGCAAGAAUUUAUGGGAUGGAAAAGCAGAUAUUUAACUAUGGGGCUUUUUAAAGCUGUGUGGAGUAAUAAAAUCAUUACUGUUGGAAAAGACUACCAAGAUCAUCUAGUCUGACCAUCAACCCAUCGCCACCAUGCCCUCUAACCAUGUUCCUCAGUCCUACUGACUCGACUGCCCUCCUUGCAAACAAGCUCUGUUCCAGACUCAGCCUUAGGUCGUCACUUCAUAAAAAUGGUCUCAUUUCUACUAGGGCCUCACUGAGAUUUCCCAGUCAGUCAUUUUUCUGAAGAUGUUUAAGUCUUAAAUGCG